AGGACGAACGCUGGCGGCGUGCCUAAUACAUGCAAGUCGAACGGUCUUUCUAUGGAAGCUUGCUUCCACUGAGAAGAUAGUGGCGAACGGGUGAGUAACACGUGGGUAACCUGCCCAUAAGAGGGGGGAUAACAUCCGGAAACGGGUGCUAAUACCGCAUAGUUUUCUUGAUUGCAUGAUUGAGAAAGGAAAGACGGCCUUUGUGCUGUCGCUUAUGGAUGGACCCGCGGCGUAUUAGUUAGUUGGUGAGGUAACGGCUCACCAAGACGAUGAUACGUAGCCGACCUGAGAGGGUGAUCGGCCACAUUGGGACUGAGACACGGCCCAAACUCCUACGGGAGGCAGCAGUAGGGAAUCUUCCGCAAUGGACGAAAGUCUGACGGAGCAACGCCGCGUGAGUGAAGAAAAGGUUUUCGGAUCGUAAAACUCUGUUGUCAGAGAAGAACAAGUUGGAGAGUAACUGCUCCAGCCUUGACGGUAUCUGACCAGAAAGCCACGGCUAACUACGUGCCAGCAGCCGC
rnacentral:rRNA from 1 species